ACUAAUCGUCCAACGGCGUCGGUCAAGGAUGCUGGUGGCUACUUUCUCGUUUUAAAAUGCGGCUAGAGACAAGGGAAAAUAGUUUAGCUCGGAUGUGUUGCCACAUAUCGAAUGUCUCUGAGUGAUGGUCUUUUUCAAGCAGAAAAAUUUGUAGCGUCCUUUAUAAAAACCCAAUUGAAGAGGAGUAGUCGUCAUAAAUCCCACUGAAAACACAUCAAUGGCGUUGGUAUUCUUGCUGCCAGGGACUCCAACUUCUGGGCCGUAUAUUCGGCGGUCGAAAGCUUCUCUCAUGAUGGAGCUUCAAAGUGCUUGCGGCAGCAUUUCCCGAAGUAGAUGAUAGCAGGGCAGUUUUGCCCUUCCCGCUCCUCGACUAAAACGUUAUUGGCUUUGAUGUCAUUGUGGAGAUUUCCUUUGUGAUGUAUAUAGUCAACCGUAUUGCAGAUCUUUUGAAACACUGCAUUCAACUGUUGUUUUGAAAGUAGAGAAAAUGAAAUAAAUACAGUACGGUAUUUACA